AAGUCUCAAUUGGGAUCAGAAAGACAGAGGCCUUUUUCUUUACAGAAGCAGAAAAGCUUAAAGUUUCAAAACCAGGUCGGAACAGAGAGUCUUUUUUUUUCUUUUUUUUUUUUUUUUAAUAUUUGGAAUCCAUUAGGAAGAGAGGAAAAAAAAAAAAAGAAGGGGAAAAAAAGAGAAAAGAAAAAGCAACUCAGAACAACAGUAUUGUCUUUACAAGGGACAGAAAGGGCUCUGCAAGGAGAACAAAAAAAAGCAAACCAACAAAACCAACCCCCCAGGCAACAUCUGAUUUACAUCAUCCGAAUAAUAAUAAUAAUAAUAAUAAUAAAGGUGUACAAAAACAAAAGGACUCCAGGAAACCUUGGGAGUGAAAAGAACGCCCCGAACCCUAAACCGUACAGUGAUGUGAGAAGCUCAGGUGUUUUGGGGGGAGUGCUGGGAGACCCACAUGGGUGCUUUGGCUGUGUCGUCUCCCUUGUCCCUUCCCAGGUCCCUGCAGCUUGGUGGCACCUGUCAGACCCAUCCUCACCCAACACUCAAGGUGGACGGAGGCCAUGGGGGUUGGCACCUCCAUUGCUUCCCAUCCCUUACUCUUGGGUUGAGUUGGGUCAACCGGUGCCUCCAAGAUGGGCUCUGGAGCAGACGCACGGAGCCAUGGCAUGGGAGGGAUGUAGGGUAGAGAAUAAGGGCACUGAAGCCCACAGUUCGGGUUUGGGGGAGAAUUCAUGGCUUCCUGUCCCUUCUUUACAGCUCAAUGCUGCACAUCACCCUAAGGCAUCAGAACUGCAGGCUCAGAGCUGCGUCCCCGCAUCCCACUGGGCCAUCUGCUCCCCAAACCAGUUGCCAAGAGGUCUUGGGUGGCCAAACAGGUGGAAAACCCAUGGUGAAGAGAAGAACCCCCCCUCCUCCCAAAACCAACUCCAGCGCUUUUCACAUCACUUAGAUCCCAGCUCAGAAGCCAAAGGGAGGGGAAAGCUGCAAGGCCAUCGUCUCAGGUCAAAAGAAAGUCAUCAUCAAAGACCCCCCCCCCAAAAUAACGCCAAAAAAAAAAAUUCUUUUAAAAAAAGGAAAUUCUGGGUCUCAGCGUUAAGAAACAUAAAGUGUUAGAAUGUACCUAUUAAUGCUCACUAUUCCAACCAUUUUUUUUUUAAAGUUUUACAAAAUGAAUUACCGUCACUUUUUUUAAACAUUGUGUAAUAAGAAAUGAGUGUGCACAACUCUACACUUUUCUAGCAUUCUUGAACUAAUUCACAAAUGCGAGAAAAUUAAAAAAUAAAUGGGAAAAACAAACAAAACA
rnacentral:lncRNA from 1 species